rnacentral:lncRNA from 1 species
AAUCAUUUGACAAUAAAUUUCCAAGCUUUGCAAGCGAUCCUAGGAGUGUGAGGCUUGGGCUAGCAUCUGAUGGAUUUAAUCCUUUCAAGAUCAUGAGCACCGCGUACAGUACUUGGCCAGUAGUGUGUGUUCCUUACAAUCUGCCUCCGUGGAUUUGCACAAUCUUCCAUUAUCUUAUCUAUGAUUAUCCCUGGAGAGAAAGGGCUCGGGAAUGAUAUCGACAUUUAUUUACAGCCACUUAUUGAAGAGUUAAAACAAUUAUGGGCUGGUGUCGAGACAUACGAUGUGCUGAGAAAUGAGAACUUUAAUUUACGUGCAGCUUUGAUGUGGACCAUUGAUGACUUCCCCGCUUAUGCCAAUUUAUUCGGUUGGAGUACCAAGGGUCGUUAUGCGUGUCCUUGUUGUGCUGCACAAACAUGUUCGCAAUGGUUGUACAAUGGGAAGAAGUUCACUUACUUGGGGCAUCGUUGGUGGUUACCGAAAAAUCAUAGAUUUAGAUUUCAGAGUUCUGUAUUUGACGGUACUGAAGAGUUCAGAGAAGCUCCUUCGCAGACCAGUGGCUCUGAAAUCUAGUUCAUGUUAGAAGAUAUGAAUUUCAUUUAUGGUAAGAUAAACCAACGCCAAACACGCAAAGAAAUAGAAGAUCUAAUGAUGACUUUGAUGAAAAGGACGAUCCUAAUGAGUCGGACUUGUUGAAAAAAAGAAGUAUUUUUUUGAGUUGCCUUAUUGGGGCAUCACCUUUUACGACACAAUCUUGAUGUUAUGCAUAUUGAGAAAAAUGUCUGCGAGAACAUUGUGGGUAAAAUUUUGAAUGUCGACGGGAAAUCAAAAGAAAAUCUUCAGAGUCAAGAUGAUUUAGUCCAAAUGGGAAUUCAGCCUGAUCUUCAUCCCAAUCCACUUCUGAAUGGGAAAUAUCGGUUGCCGCCUUCUAUUUUUUCAAUGUCGAAGACGGAAAAAGAAGUGUUCUACACGGUGUUGAAGGAUAUAAAGGUUCCAGAUGCGUAUGCAUCAAAUAUAUCUCAAUGUGUUAGUGUCAAAGAUCGAAGAUUAUAUUCGCUAAAAUCACAUGACUAUCACAUCUUAAUGCAAGAUUUACUGCCAGUUGCUCUACGAUGUUGUAUGUCCAAGAAGGUGACGUCUUGUAUAAUUGAACUAUCUAAUAUAAUGAAAGCCAUUUGUGGCAAAGUUUUGGAUGUUCAAGAACUUUAGAAGGUACAGGAUCGAGCCGUUUUGACUUUAUGCAACAUGGAGAAAAUCUUCCCACCUUCCUUCUUCACCAUUAUAGUUCACUUGAUAAUCCAUCUCCAGCAUGAAGCAAUUCUUGGUGGACCCGUUUUCUAUCGAUGGAUGUAUCCCAUAGAAAGGUGUUAAUUAAAAUUUUUAAAAUUUUCCUUCAUUCACCUCUAUGCCUUUAGUUACAACUUUUGAUAAUGUUGUAUAUCGUGUUUAGGUUCCUAUCCAAAUUAAAGUCUUACUGCAGCAACAAGCGUUAUCCAGAAGGAUCGAUUACUAAAGGCUACUUGGCAAAUGAAUGUAUGACCUUCUGCUCAAGAUAUUUGGAAGAUGUUGAAACAAGAUUGAACAGACCAAAUAGAAAUGAUGGACUCACGGACCAUAACUUCACCGAUACUUAUUUGUUCCAAAGUUUUGGAGAACCAAUCAGCAAAGUUGAAAAUGUAGAAUUAGAUCAUUUAUCGUGGGUACAAGCACAUCGAUAUGUUCUGUUUCACCACGAGUCAAUGGAACCUUUACGGAAGUAAGUUCUUCAAAUUUGAUAAAUAUUUAUCAAAUUAAAACUUGUUUAUCUUCUAACAAAGUGAACAUUUUUUUUAACAUAGUGAGUACAAACAAAUAUUGAGAUCUCGUUCGCGCUCCCGAAGAACACAACAUCGAGAUAUCAAUAAGUUGUUCACAGAAUCUUUUCAUGAAUGGUUAGGUCAAACGGUAUGCAGUUGGAGCUUCCGCUUAUAAAUAAUAAUGUUUUCUUAUAACAUUUUUAAUUACUCAGUUUACUUUCCAUUCAAUAGGUUUGGAGUGGGAAGAACGUAAACGACGAAGUUAAAUGGCUCUCCCGAGGUCCAAAUCGAGUGGUUAAAAGAUAUAGUGCGUUCCUCAUCAACGGAUUCAGAUUUCAUAAAAAAUAUCGCGAGAGGUUGGGGAGAAUGCAAAAUUGUGGAAUAGUUGUUAAUUCCUCAAUUACAAGUUAUGCUAGUACUAGGGACAAUAAUCCUGUCGAGGGAAAUGUGGAAUAUUUUGGACUUCUUACUGACAUAAUUGAGUUGGAUUACUACGACAAAUGGAAAGUUGUCUUAUUUUGAGGUGAUUGGGCCGAUGUUAAUACUGCUCGUGGAAUUAAGCAAGAUCAAUUUGGUUUUACAAUGGUGAACUUCGCUCGAUUGAUUCACACAGGACAACAACUGAUAGAUGAGCCGUAUGUAUUCUCAUCUCAAGUCAAACAAGUUUUUUACUCAAAAGAUCCAACUGAUGAGGUUGGUACGUUGUACUCCGUAACAUCCCUAGAGACUUGUUUGACAUGGGCAGUGGAAGUAGAGAUAACAUCGACGAUAGAUCAAAAACUUUGCCCUUUCCAGAACAAAACUUAAACGAUAAUAUCCCUAGUACUAGUACACAAUUUCAAUGGGUUCAUCAGGAUACGGAUGGAUAUAUUUACGAGUAAUGAUGUAGUAAGAUUUUACGAUUGUUUAAUUAGAUGUAAUAUCAUAAUUUAAAUCUUGGUCUUAUUAUAUAUUUCAACUAUUUUAUAUGUGCUGUUAUUGUUGUAAUUAGUUAUUAAGUUUUCAACUAUUUUAUGUGUAUUGCAGAUAAAAUGCCUAGAAGAAAAAUGCGAGUUCUAAGCAUUGUUCAAAAUGAUCCAAACUCGGCAGAAACAAAUAGUACUGAACAACAGAUAGUAAUUGGAUCUUUGAAUGUUCCGAUUACACCUGAGAAUCCUACAGAAGUUCAAAGUAAUUUUACAUUUAAUUUACAUGCUGUAAUUGUUUUAUUUUUCAAAUUCUUAUAUUAUAAUAUACCAUUUGCAGCUGAAAAUGGUAGGACGCGCAGAGAUCGAUGACGUACGCUACUUAGAGAUUUAUACGAGUUAGAUCCAGUCGAGCGUGUCAAGGUAUGCAGAAACAGUUUUGGUCAACCUGUUGGAUCAGAAGCUCGACUUUUAGCAGGAUACAUGGGAAUUUUAGCACGAAAUGCGAAUAUGUUGCCUAUCAACUACAAGUCAUGGCAUCAAAUGCCCGAUAACAACAAAAACCAAGCCCUCGAUAAUAUUAAGGUAAUAAAAUGUUAAUGUCAUCUGUAAUGCUUGGGAAAUAAUUUUAUUUAUAUUUACUUUAUUAACUUUUGUUUUUUGUAGGCGAGGUUUGCUUUAGAGGUCUCGGAUGCUUAUGUAAAGAAUGCAUUGGGAAAAAGAUGGAGAGACCAUAAAAGUACUUUGAAGAAAUAUUAUUAUAAGACAAAAACAACCCUCGAUGAGAAAUUGCAAAAUGUCCCGCCGGGUAUGCUGAGGUACCAAUGGGAAGAUGCAGUUAGAUUUUGGCAUUCGAAGAAAGGCGAGGUAUGACGUACUUCUAAACUAUUGUAAUUAUUUUGGUUUAUAGUAUUUACUAUUUACGUACUAAUAAUUUCAUAACGCAGGAUGGUGAACAAGUUGGAAAAAGCAGCAGGCAGAAAUAAAAAUUCACUCACACAGCCGGGUCGAGAAGUUUUGCAUGUGUAGUUGAGGCGGAGGUAUUUUUAAUUUUUUAAUAUUUUCAAAUAUGUAUAACUUUCCAUUAAAUAAUAUUUUUACUACUAUAUUGUAGGAACUGUCGUCCGGUCAAAAAGUUGGACGCCUUCAACUUUUUGAAAUUACACAUAGGAAGAAAGAUGGAUCUCCUAUGACUCUUGAAGCUGGUGAAAUUAUGGUACGUUUACUUAAUACGAUUUGACUUGUUUUAGUUAUUUAUAGUGUUUAUUUUCUAAUGGUUUAAUUCAUUGCUUGUAAUGCGACUAUUGUUAUGUUGCAUUUGUUUUUAUAAUAUAUAUUGCGUUCCUAACUAUGUGAUUUAUUUAUUAGGAAAAACUAAAGGAUAAAAAGGCGGAGUACGAAGCGAUUGCUUCUAGUGAUAGUUCUGUUCAUCUUGAAAAAAUUGAUAACCGGAUUAUUACUGAAGUUUUGGGUCCUGUAAGGUAUGGUCAGGUUCGAUUUCAAGGUUCUUUUGUUAGCCCAACCCAAUAUUUUGGAUCCAGCUCGCAACAAUACAUGGCUUCGGGGAGUCAGGCUCAAGCUGAAGUUCAGAGGUUAAAAGACCAGAUGGCUCAGAUGCAAGCGACCACAAUUGAAGUUCAAAGGAAAUAUGAAGAACUCCAGCUACAACUAAAAGUAGAGGCGGCAGUGAGAGAAGAAGAGGCUGCAGCGAGAGAAGCAGAGGUUCAAAAGAAAUAUGAAGAACUCUAGCUACAACUUAAAGCAGAUACGGCAUCGAGAGAAACAGAGCAGAGUAGAAAGUACGACGAACUCCAACAGCAGUUUCAGACUAUGAUGAAGAUGUUUCAGCAAUCGCAACUUCCGCCUUCAUAGUGUAUUGCGUAAAUAUUUUUAUCAUUUUAACUUUUAACAUUUUUGUAAAAGUAAUAUAAAUUCUAUUUUAUUUAUUGAUAUUAAUAUUAUUUUAUUCGUUUAAUUUGAAAUAUUUUAUAAAUUUAUUGCUUUUGGCUGGUUUAGAUUUGGUUGCUUUUGAUUUGUAGCUACAUGAGGGCUGAAAAAAUGUAAAAUUUUAUUUUACAAAAAUCCCAAAAUUAGUGGCGUUUUUAUAAAAGCGUUGCUAAAAGUCAUGUUUUAUAGCGACGUUUGUAGAAUAAAACGCCGCUAAAGAACAUUUUUUUAGCAGCGUUUGUGAAGAAAGCGCCGCUAAGCGGCGUUUUUUUUGCGUUUUUUUUAAGCGCCGCUAAAGAACAUGACCUUUAGCGGCGUUUAUUUUUGUAAACGCUGCAAACGUUAGCGACGUUGUCGUUAGCCGCAAAUACCUUUAGUGGCGCUAAAAAGCGCCGCUAAAGGCCUAAAAAAACGCUGCUAAAAACCUGUUUUGGUGUAGUGGCUUAGGCUAAUUUAAGUAUUUACGAGUAUAUUGGCUUGUGUAAUCAGGUGUAAUUUGAAACUAUUUGAUAUUUUAAGUUAGCUUUUUACUCCUAAAUUUGAUUUGAAGAUGUAUGACUUGAAUUUGUGUUUGAAUAGAUCUUGAUUUGGUUUUUAAUUUAUCUAAAACUCAUAGAUACCUAUAAUGAUAUUUGGGGAGGAUUUCAUGUGUUUUGGAGCCAAUUUAACUUCAGGGGACUCAUGUAUCAAAAUAUGGAUUGGUUGUAUCGAUACAACACAAGCCAAUACCAAAAAAGUUAAAGUAACAAGGGUUUGUAUCAAUACAUCUAUAGGAUGUACAGAUACAUCUCCUCUUGACACUAUGAAAACACUGCUUAGGCCAUUUUAAACCCUUGAAAACUUGUUUAAGGCCCCAAACACCUCUAACCAUUUACGAAUUGAACCUAAACGACAUUAGCAUGUUUCCUAAGUCCAGUAAUUAAUUUAAACUUGAAUCAUUAAUUUUUUCCUAAUUGUCUUAAAAUUUUAUUUCCUCAAAAUUUUAACUGCAAUAUUUUAAAAUUUUAUUUUGGUAACAUCUCUUAUCCGUACUAAUCGACAGGAUGGAUCUCUUAUCCGUACCAAUCGAUAGGAUGAAUAAGGGGUGUUAUAGAAUCUGCUACGUCUAUAUACUGCGUAAUACAAUCGGAGUGAUAGUGUAUAUUUCCUUCAGCAUGUCGGUGGGACCAUCGGCCAACUUGAUUCUAGCUUUGCAAAUAGUGAUCCCCUCCGAUGGUGUUUUAGCCAUUCAUGAACCACUACACCAAAACAGACUUUUAGCGGCAUAUUUUGUGGCGUUUGGACAGAAAACACCGCUAAAAAUCGAGCAUUAGCGGCGCAAAAAAUAAAACGCCGCAAAAUAUCUGGCAUUAGCGGCGCUUUAAGAAAAACGCCGUAAAAGAACAUAAGUAGCGGCGUUUUUGGUUAUGCGCUGCAAAAUCUCAAGACCAAAACGCAUCGUUUUUGUAUUGAUGUAUACAAUAAUUAGUGGCGAUUAUGAUAAAACGCCGCUAAAGCAAGUAAUAGCGGCGCAUUGUGGGAAGCGCCGCAAAAAUCUUAACGAAAACGCAUCGUUUUGGUAUCGAUGUAUAUUAGAAUUAGUGGCGCUUACAAAAAAAGCCAGUAAAAGAAGUAUUAGCGGCGUUUACUAAAAACGCCGCAAAAUAUGAUAACCAAAACGCAGAGUUUUGAUCUUGAUGUAUAUUAGAAUUAGUGGCGCUUAAUAGAAGUGCCAAAUGUUAACCAAAACGCAGCGGUUUGGUCUCGAUGUAUAAUACAAUUAGUGGCGUUAGUUAAAAACGCCGCUAAAGUAUAAAAUUAGCGGCGAUUUUUUAGAAUCGCCGCAAGAUAUGCACACCAAAACGCAGAGUUUGGUCUUGAGGUAUAUUAGGAUUAGUGGCGCUUACGGAAAAACGCCGCUAAAGAGUACUAUUAGCGGCGCGUUUGGAGAAGCGCCGCUAUAUUUCUUAACCAAAACUCAACGUUUUGGUCUUGAUGUAUAAUAUAAUUAGUGGCGCUUACAAUAAAACGCCGCUAAAUAUCAGUAUUAGCGGCGCUUUCAGUUAAGCGCCGCAAGGUAUACACACCAAAACGCAAAGUUUAGUAUUGAGGUAUAUUAGAAUUAGUGGCGCUUAUUGGAAAACGCCGCUAAAGUAUACUAUUAACGGCACUUUCUUAGAAGCGCCGCAAGAUAUAUUAACCGGAACGCUGCGUUUAAAUCUUGAUGUAUACUGGAAUUAGUGGCGUUCACGAGAAAUCGCCGCUAAAUCAUAUUAUUAGCGGCACUUUUUUAUAAGCGCCGCAAAAGACCUUUACCAAAACGCACAGUUUUGGUCUUAACCAUGCAUUAAUAUAGUGUAGGCUAUUAUAUAUUUAGUUGAUCGUAUUUGGGUUACGUUUAGGGUAUUAGGGAUCAUUAUAUAAUGUUUAUUAUUUUGGAUUAUAGUUUAGGGUUUACUAUGUAGGUAUAUUGUUUUUGGUUUAGGGUUUGAGAGUUUAAGGAUUAAGGUUCAGUGAUUAUUAUAAGUUAAAAAGUUUAUCGUAUAUAGUUUAGGGUUUUAGGGUUAAUCAUUACAUAAUGUUUAAUAUUUUGUGAAUAUUAGAGUAUUGAGUUUAGGGUUUAUGAUGUGGGUUAUGGUGUUUUGGGUUUAGGGUUUAGGAGUUUGGGGUUUAAGAUUUGGGGUUUGGGGUUUAGACUGCUUUAGUCAUGUUAAGAGGUUAAUUACUGCUUUAGGGGUUUAUGCUUGUGGUUAACGGUUUGCAGUUUAUAAUUUAACGUUUACAAUGCAUGGUUUUGGGGUUUGGGCGAUUUAGGGUUUAAUGACUUUUUUGGUACCAAUUUGAAAAAAAUGACAAAUACAUAUUGUUUUUUAAUUAUUAUUAUGAUACUAUAGUUCUAAGUGACACAAAUGACUAGUUUACUAAUUAAUGACGAAUGACAUAUUUAUAUGUUAUAUAUGAUGAAACAAAUUAUUUUAAUAUUGUGUUAUUUACAUAUAUAUAUUAAUCAUUGAUAUAUUCACUUAAAAAUAGAGAAUAUUUAAUUUUAAAAUUAUAAUACAUUAAUUGAAUAAUAUAAAUAAUUAAUAAUUUAUAAUUUUAAAUAUUGAUAAUAUUUAAAUUAUACAGAUUUAUUUUUAAAAUUUAUAAAAUUUUAACAAUUGAAAUUAAUAAAUCUGUAUAAAAUUUUUAAAUAAUAUUAUUAAUUAUAUUAAUAAUGUCAUAAUUUUAAUGUAUGAAUUAAAAAUAAUGUCUACAACAAUGUAAAUAAUUUAUAAAAAGCUAAAUAUUAGCGGCGUUUGUUAAUAAAACGCCACAAAAAUAUAUAAAAAAUGAAGUAGUACGACACCGUUUCGUUGACGAAUUGCAGGUUAGUGGCGUUUUUUUGUGAAACGCCGCAAAAGUUGUGAAAGUAGUGGCGUUUAUGCGUAAGUGCCACAAACAUUAUAAUAUAAAACGAUGCCGUUUUCAUAGCAAUGAUCGAUUAAGGUUUCAGAAUGCGGAGCCGUUUCAGUGUUGGCAAAAAUUUUAUAGUGGCGUGUUUGAAGGGAAACGCCGCAAUAGUUAAUUAAAUUUCCGGAUUCGGCGCCGUUUCUGUUCUGGAAAAUAAUUUAAUAGUGGCUGUCGAAACCAUUUUUUGAAAACAAAAAUAAGUUAUCGACUUUAAAAACAAAAACUGGAGUCACCACCGAUCCUUUAUUAAGGUGUGAUCGGCUCACCUUAAAAACGAUUCUGUCUACGAAAUUUGAGAGAACGAGUUCGGGAGUCAGUUACACGCGAGGAAGGGUUAGCACCCUCGUAACGCCCAAAAUCGGUACCAAAUUGAUUAUUUAAUAUCUUGGUGUCGAAAAAAAAAAGAUUUUGUUAAACUCAAAUUUUGAAAUCUGAAAAGGAUAAUCAAUUAUUCAAGUCAUGCGAAGAAAUUGAGACCCAAUACGUUAGGGUACAAUUUCUCAAUAUCCCCGAAUUUUGAAUAUCGCUUUUUAAUUAAUUUUUUAAAGAAAAUCUUCAUUUCGAGAAAGCAAUAUGUCAUGCCCAAUGCGUUAGGACAUAACAUAUUGAAUUCCCGAAAAUGAUUUUUGUUUAUAUAUUUUAAAUAACGAAUAUUCUCGGUUAUUUGGAAUUAACAAAGAAAAUCGGAACCCAAUACGUUAGGGCUCAAUUUUCCUCGAAAAUCCCUAACUUUGAAUAUCGUUUUUAUUUUGAAAAUCUUUGAAUCAUAAAAAUAAUUUUAAUGUUUUGACAAAAUCAAAAUGUAUUUAAAAAAAUGUAUUAAAAAUGUCAAUGCAAUAUGGAACAAAUAUUUUAAUUUAAAUUAUGUGUAUACAUAAGCAUAAUGUAUAAACGAAUUUUGCAAAUAUGUACAUGGAUAUGAGAGAAAAAUGCAUAAAUCAUAAAAAUAAAACAAUGAUAAAAUACAUAUAAAAUAUAUUAAUAUAUUUUAAAAAAAUGUAUAAGUAUAAUGUAUUUAAAAAAAUGGAAAAUAUUUAUAAUAAACCUUGAAAAGAAUGCAAAAAUAUAUGUACAUGUUAUAAAAAUGUAUGAACAUAUAAAUUUUAAAACAUGAAAAUAUAAAUAUUAUAAAAAUAUGAAUGUAUAUAAAAUAUAUAUAAACUAUAAAUAUAAAAUGAUAUGAUAAUAAAAUAUAUACGUACUACAUAUAUAUUUAAAGCAUUUAGAAUAUACACAUAUUUACAUAUAUAUGCACAAAUAUAUACGUGCAAUAAUAAUAAUAUAGUAAUAAUUAUACUAAUGAAUAAUAUAAACAAUAUAAAAAAAAACCUAAAAGAAACAAAUUAAGGACUAAAUUUAAAAGCCAAACAGAAUUUAUGAGCCGAAUUUGAAAAUAAAAACAAGAAAGGGAGUGAACUAAAACAGGUGCAAUAGAUAAGGGACCAAAAGAGAAAUUUUCCAACCCGCCCUAAAACACUGCACACUAUUGGAUUAAAUUAAAACAUUAAUAGUAUUUCAUGGGAAAAUUUCAAAAUAAGAAAAACUAAUUUUUAAAACCAUAAAAUAUAAAGGGGCCUAAACUAUAAAUAACCCAUCAACUUAAAACCAAAUAAAAUCCUCCUUUUUAAACCCUAAAACUCAUUUUCUUUCUUUCUUUGAUAUUGCCGUCUUGCUCUCCCUCUGAAAGCUCUUUCCCUGCUCCAAUGGUGACGAAAUAAAGGAGCUUCAACGACGCCACGCCGGUAAAUUUCCUUAACUCCCUUUCUUUAUUUUUUAGAAACGAAAGCAAAACAAAAAAAUAAAAUGAAAAUAGUAAAAGAACAAAAGGGAAAAAAACAAGAAGCCGUCACCUUCAAAAUCUAUUUAUUCUUUUCUUGUAUUUUCUUUUUUCGUAUUUUCUUUAACUUUUUCAUACAAUAUUUUUGCCCCCUCCUUAACAGAUUCGAUUGGCUUUUAUAUAGCCUUUACUCAAAAAAACCUUUACAAUUGUUUUGCUGCGUGUAUAUCUUGUUGUUCGUGGUUCGUUUGUAGAACGAACGUGCAUAGUAGACGCAAGGGAUCGUUGAUCAUGGGUGAUUGCGUCGUGGGGUGAUGGAACCGUUGCUGAACGUGGGCAAGGUGCGACGUGGGGCGAUGGGCAGUUGCUGCGGUGGCUGAGAUGCUGCUAACUGCUAGGGUUGCUACUAUCCUUUGAAAAUUUUUACUUUGGGCCACACUGUAAUUGGGCUAAGAUUUAGGGUCAAUGAUUUGGAUUUAAUUGAUUUUUAAUCAGGCCAAAAUUGGCCUAUUACAGCUGCCCCUCUUUGAUUAUUAUCGUGUAACGAGAAUGGAGCAAAGACUUUAGAAAUGGCCAAUUUUGCCUGGUCGUGCUGGACCUCAAGGCCCUUUUCUUCAAAGAGCUUCAUUCCAUCCUACUGCAACGUCAGAGGUAUAGGAACUAGAGCUUCGAUCCACUCCACUACAACAUCAAGGUGAUAGGAUUUGGGUCUUCAGUUUGCUCGAAAGAAUAAAAUUUGCUAUCUCAAGUCCACUUCACUGCACCGCCAGGGAAGUAAGAUCUGCCGUUGUGGCUUCAAUCUUUUAAAUUGCUCUGUUAGGGAAACCAGAUCCGCCGUGGUGACUUCAAUUUGCUCCACUACAUCACCAAGGAAAUAAGAUCCGUCGUCGUGACUUCAAUCUUUUUCACUGUAAUGCCAAAGAGAUAGGAUUCACUGCCCACAGCUUCAAUCCGCUCAAAUUCAACUAAUCCAAGCUUUAACACCAGGGAGAUAAGAUCCGCCGUCGUGGCUUCAAUCUGUUCCUCUGCGACGCCAGAAAAAUAAGAUCCGCCCUUGUAGCUUCAAUCUAUUUCAUUGCUACGUCAAGGCGAUAAGACUAGUCUUCGAUCUGCUUCGCUGCCAGUAUAGGAAGGCAAGAUCUACCAUUUUCGACCUACUCAGCUGCUGCCCAGGGAGACAAGGCUGGUAUCUUCGAUCUGCUUCGCUGUCAAUACAGGAAGGCAAGGUCCGCUAUCUUCAGUCUGCUCUGCUGUAAACUCAGGGAGGCAAGGCUGGUGUCUUUGAUCUGCUUCGUUGUCAGUACAAGAAGGCAAGAUCUGCUAUCUUCAGUCUGCUCCGCUGUAAACCCAGGGAGGCAAGGCUGGUGUCUUUGAUCUGCUUCGUUGUCAGUACAAGAAGGCAAGAUCUGCUAUAUUCAGUCUGCUCCGCUGCAAACUCAGGAAGGCAAGGCUGAAGUUACACCGGUUUGUCCUUUGAGGAACAUGACCUAUAUAAUUCAACUUAUGAACCUAAUUAUGCCUAAUGAUUAGGAUAUCAUGAUCAGAAUGAAUCACAUGCUCCUAACUAGACAUGUAUGAAUGACAUUUGAAUGGAUGUAAAAUGUCAUUUUAUUAAGAAUGAUCCUUUUUAUCACCUAGAUUGUCAUUACUCAAAAUUUAUUAAGGCUUUAUCAACGACGUUCUACAACUCCUUCUUGCUUGGCUAGCAUCUCCAAAAGCGCUUAAUCCAGUUGCCCCCACUGUAAACUUCCAAGUUCAAUCCACUGAGACGCAAAAUUUGUACCAUCUUUCUCUCAUUGUAACCCAAGGAUAGAAAAAUCUGGCCUUUUCUCAAUCCUCCAUUAUCACAAUGCAAGGACGCAGAAUGUAAAGCUCCUCUAUCACUUUCACCAUUUUUAGGGAGUCAUACCAAAUGCACAUGCACAAAUGAAGAAUAUUCUUCCUCCGAGGAAACCUCCUCUUAUUGCAAGGUGAUCAUAGCUUGUUUGUUCAUUGACACUUUGUCACCAACACGACAUCUUGUCAUUUUGUUUAAUCAAUGCUUUUGACAACAAAAUCCAAAGAGAUAGUCUUAAUUUAGACUCUUCCUUCUCAGAUUUCCCACCUUUAAACCAGGUGUGUUCUAAAUAAUAGUCCUGUUUCAGGUUCCCGUAUUAUUUAGAAACUUCUAGAGUAAUAUGCAAAACUUCCAUUGUGAAAGUUUUAUUAGUCCAUUGAUCAUUAUUCUAAUGCAACACGUUUGCAAAAAAGAACAAAAUGACGGGUAAGAUAGAAUUGAUUUGAGAGCAUAGCUUGCAAUGAAUAAAUUAUCAAGAAUAUUGAGAAUAAAAGAGAAAUUGACUUGUAUCUUGAAAAAGAAUGAAGUAUUCCAAGAAUAAGAAAAUAUAAACAGUAUAAUGACUAGGUGCCCCAGAUAUCGCAGCUUGAACUUCUCUGUACAAACUUUCUAAAGACCAUUCUGAGUUUGACGUGUGUUUAGGAGAUCUACAGUACUCUGUCGAUACCCCAAGAAGUCACGUACCCCUUCCUGCUGAUUCAAGCAUAGCAAGAUCACCGCAUGCCCCAUUCUAACCAAAAUUCGAGCCGCCCUUUUCGGGUUUUCAACUCAAAUCCCCUUUGGUCUAAGGCGCCCUUUACGGGUUUUCACCCUAGCCUCUCCACUUUUACUUUUUCAUUUUCACUUUUCAUUUUUUCGUCAUUUUACAUUUUUUUACGACUCAAAGUGCCAUUUGCAGGUUUUUACCUUGAUCCUCUCCUUCUUUAAGCGAAGUAUUUCUUGACUAAAUCUGAGUUUACAGGAUUAGACAAGUUUUGUACUAUCCAUCUCACCCAAUAUCAGUGCUCCCGGAACAUAUCUUCUUUACAACAUAAGGACUUUCCCAAUUUGGCACUCAUUUUUCUCUAACAUCCUUUUGUAGAUGAAGGAUCUUUUUCAAUACCAGGUCUCCUUCGUGGAAUUCUCUAGGACUAACCUUUUUGUUGUAAGCUUGCAUUAUCUAUUUUUGGUACAUCUGAUCGUGACGAAUAACUUUUAGCCAAUUUCCUUCAAUUAAGUUCAACUGAUCUUAUCAAGAUUGGAUCUUCAUCCUACUUCAGCUCAGCCAAUACCCGAAGAGAAAGAAUUUUAACUUCAAUGGAAAAAUCGUGAUAAGCUAAAGAGAAAGACAUUGCCUCGGUAGAGGUUUUUUUGUUUCUUUUUAUUUUUUGUUCUUUUUUGUUCUCUUUUUUUUCUUUUUUCUAUAUAUUUUUUUGUUCUUCUUUUUUUUUGCAUUGAAUUUGCACUCAUAGUAUUAGGCAAGUCCUGGUCAUCUUUUUCAAUCAGAAUCAAUAUUAUUCCAGAUAAGGUCUUCCUUAUAAGAUCUUCCACUUCAAUUAGGAUGAAAUCCAACAAGAAUACAGAAAAAUGACAACUUGACUUCAACGGGAUAAGCCAGAGAAGAAGGCAUUGCCCCGACAAAGAAUUCUAACUGCAUUGUUCAUGAUAUGAAUCUUGAACAUACUGCAAAUUUUUAACGUUGUGCUAUUGCUCAAAUUACAAUAUCAGUGCUUAACCUGGGCAUAUCCUGGUAUAACUAUAUGAAGACAUCUUUAAACUCUUGAAGUAACUUAACAAGGUCUUGCUUUGUUGCUCCGGUUAUGCAUGUUCCCUCAAGGUUACAAUCUCCAUUGUCUCUUCAAGAGGUAAAAUUUGUUUCUCUUCUUGCUCUACCAUCCUCAACAAGUCUGGAGGUAGACUACGAUCUAUGUCAUCUUCAAAGUCAUGAGAUCCUUCUAAACACAUGUCUUGCUCAAAAGGAGAUUCUAAAUCUGUGGCAGUGUCAUUCAAGUCAUUGAUAUCUGGGGGCCCAUAAUAAAUACCAAAGAAUAUACAAAAGAAUGUAUAAAUUUAUGAAGAACUAUUUGUACAAUAUAAUUAUGAAUGAAUGAAUAAUGUGGAAGAAAAUCCAAAAGAAUGAAAGAAUUUAGAAUUAUUCGAAAAGAAUGAAAGAAUAUUGGCUCAAAAAUGAAUGCAAAGAUGUAUUCAUAAAAUAAUGACGUUCAAAGAUGAGCCUAUUUCACAAUGGGAUUCUUAUUGCCUCUAGGCUAAAAGCAACAAGUGUGUUUUGAACAUUACUCUAAGUAAGUUCUAAAUACCACAGAGAUUUCUUUUGCAGUCCAAUUAAUUAAAACACUCCCAAAUUUACAAAGGUGAAUAUCUAACAAGGUCUCUUCUUUAGUUGUGUCUCCAUGUAUGGCAUUGAUGUGAACGUUUCCUACCACUUCUUCAUACAUCACAUUUACCCCAUUAUCAAAUGUGAUUAGGUAGCGGAUUUUCUGCACUAGAUGAAUCGUCAAAUUUGACAACGCCCAUACUGAUAAGCCUUUCAACCACUUUUUAAAGGCAAUGCAAUUUUCUAUAGAAUGCCCUGUAAUUCCUGCAUGAUAAUCGCAUUGUGCACUUGCAUCGUACCAUUUAGGGUACGGAGGUUGUGGGGGCUUUGAGUAGAAAGGGGAAACAACGUGCGCAUCGAAUAAGCUUUGAUACAGCUCCUUAUACGACAUUGGAAUUGGCGUGAACUGGAGUUUCUCAGUACCUUGCUUCACACUUGAUUCUUGUCUUGAUGAACCCUGCUGAUUAGCAACCACCUUUCUUGGCUGAUUCACCGUAAUCGAUUUGCUGUAUGUAUUCACGCUGUUCACCUCAUCUUCUUUUUCCUUUGGGGCUUGCCUUCUGUUAUUUCCUCCAGCAUCAAUCUUUCCACUCCUAAUAGCACUCUCAAUCAUCUCACCACUCAUGACUAUAUCAGUAAAAUUUUUUGUGGCACUGCCUAGCAUGUGUGUGAUGAAAGGGACCUUUAGCGUAUUUACAAAAAGCAUCGUCAUUUCUCUUUCAAGAAGAGGUGGCUGGACCUGCACUGCCACCUCUCUCCAUCUCUGAGCAUAUUGUCUAAAACCUUCAUUCAACUUUUUCUCCAUAUUCUAUAAAGUGAUCCUAUCAGGAACCAUUUCUGCACAUGACCGUACUGCUUCAUAAAAGCCUGUGCUAAAUCCCUCCAGGAGCUAAUCUUAGCACGGCUUAAUUGAUUAUACCAUUUACACGCUGCCCCCGCGAGGCUAUCCUGAAAACAGUGUAUCAAUAACUGGUCGUUAUUGACAUACCCAGUCAUUCGCCAACAAAACAUAGUAAUGUGGGCUUCAGGGCAAGUGUCAUGGUAUAUAGUUUUCUUUCUAUAUCCAUCGAUUCAUAUACAUUGCUUGUUGUGGAAUGAACAGGUUUUCAACGAUGCGAUUGAAGCUUUGAGGAUCUUAUACAGGAAGAUGAAUCCUUUUUGCGUACCGUUUGCUACAACAAAUAUGGGUUCUACAAUGCUUGCAAUGGAUUUGGUUAGCUUAAAUUUAGAUUCUGCAAUGUUAAGAUAGACCUUGAUGGAUGUUAAAAUUUCGAGUUUGAGCUUUAAACUGAUGAUUUCUUCAGGGAUGGAUGGGUCCUAAUUAUUCAAUCUAGGCUUUUAUAUGUAUAUUAUUUUUGCAUGACCUCUAUAUGCACCUGAACGAUGUAUAUGUACCUGAACGAUAAUAUUUUAUAUGAUAUUGAUAAUAUUAAGAAGUCCUAAUUGCAAUGACCUCUAUAUGCCUUAAGAGUAUGAUUUUUCAUUUGAGAAAAUGGUUAUGCUGUGUUUAUUUUACUUCAUUUCUAUCUUUUAAUGAGAAAGAAGGGGCCCUUGUUUUCAAUGUUGAGUGUUGAAAUAUAAGUCCAAUUAGCAUGGUUUUAAGUCCUAAGGUAGUCAGCAUUGAGUUAUUCUUAAUGUUUAGCAUGAUCUUCAUGUUUUGGCAUCUGUUGGGGUAUGCUUGAUUGAUUUCCCUUGAUAUAUGAUAUUGAUUGACUUUACAUUGGGUUUUAUUAUGAAUUAGGGAUACACUAGUUUACAUGUAGAGAAUGCUGUCUUUGCUUUGUGUGACUGUUUUAUCUGUCACGUUUUUACUGUUAGUGCAUCUAGUUUCCAAGCAUAUAAUAACUUAAAGUAUUAUUUAGUAUUUAGUUAUUUGUAAGCUGUCUUUAAUUAUCUGUUAGUGAAGUAAGUACUCACUUUUUGCUUCAUUGACCAAGCUUUAACUGACCUAUAUCAAGUUGCGUUAUGUUUCUUGAGGAUUACUUCUUAGCUGUCUUUCCCGGUAGAACUUGCUAAAUGAUUGGCAAUAGAGAUUUCCUUUAACCGUCCAACCAUUUUUUGAUCGACCAGUUGUUGUAAUUACAACUUUCUUUUGGAUUUUACAAGUUCCCUACUAUCUUGACGAAGCUACAGGAUGGGGUUUGAAAGUAUCUGAGCUUAAGAAACAACUGCAGGAAGCCAAGUCUAAUGGCAUCACUGUUAGGGCCUUGGUUGUAAUAAAUCCAGGCAACCCAACAGGACAGGUAUCAAUGAAAUGCUUUCAGAAAAGUAUAUUAUAAAUGAAAAAGGUUCAUGCAAUUUCAUUUUUCUAUUAUUUCAUUUACGGAAUGUGAAUGAGCUUAUACAAAGUUUGGAAUUUUGACACAGAAUAUAAACUCUUUUACUGUCUCCAGGGUAUUAUGGAGAGUGUGGAAAAAGGGGAGGUUACAUGGAGGUUACUGGGUUUGGUGCUGAUGUGAGGGAGCAUAUAUACAAAUUAGCAUCUGUGAAUGUGUGUUCUAACAUCACUGGUCAAAUUCUUGCUAGUCUUGUAAUGAGUCCACCUAAGGUUAUAUCUUUUGCCAUUUAAAGCCAGUUAUCUGUUUGUAUUCAAAUGACAUUGGAUGUAUGACAUAGGACUAAAUAGAUUUUGAGCUUUGACAAGCUGCUUAUAAGCAUUGUUUCUUAUAGAAGAAACACAUUAUUGGAGAAAGCUUUUGAAUCUCCCAACUAUUGGAUUUGGGUUUCUUUUUGACAAUUUGUUUAUUGUGCUUUUGUUUAGAUGAUGAGAAAGGAAAGUCAAGAAUUAUAUUUACUCGUUAAGUUAAAUGAAGAUAUUUGUAAUUUAAAAAAAUAAAAAUUCAAUAUAAAUUUAAAAUAAGAGUUUAACUAAAAAAUAAGAGUUAGUGACAAAAAUUAAUAAAAUUUAAAUUUUAGUGGUAAAAUUCAAUAACAUAAAAAUUAAGUUACAAAUUUACUCAUAUUUUUUUAAAAAAUAACGGCAAAUAUAAAUAAAAAUAAAGUACAGUGACAAAUUUCAAUAUUUAUCUAUAGUAUGAUGAUAAUUUCGCACUUUAAUAUUUUUUAAGAAAACAAUAUUUGAAUUUUUUAGAAUGGUACGGUAAAAAAAAUUUAAAACAUAAUUAUUGUGCCAGCUAUUUUAAAAUUUUUACCAAACACAAUUUUUAAAAUUUUUAGAUAAUUUGGUAAGAAAUUAACUGUAUUCCAAUUAUUAAAUAAUAUGGUAAUUUAAAAUAAUUUUAGUACAAGAUCAUAUAUAUCUAAUAUAAUUAAUCGUCAUUAAUUUGAAUUUAUAUUAAAUAAGUAAUUGAAAAUAUAUAUUUUAUUAAAUUAUAUUUAAUAAUAAUUAUGUUAAAUUAUAUUUCAUAGUAUUAUAUAUUAUGAUUUUAGAAAAUUCAUAUAAGAAUAUUUAAUAUUAAGAAUUUUAUUAAAUUAUAUAUUUUAAUUAAAAUAUAUUUAAUAGUAAUUAUGUUAAUUUAUAUUUUACAGUAUCAUAUAUUAUGAUUUCAGUAAAUUAAUAUAAGAAUAUUAAUUAUUAAGAAUUUUAUUAAAUUAUAUAUUUUAAUUAAAAUAUAUUUAAUAAAAAUUAUGUUUAAAUAUGAUUAAAUUAUUUAUUAUUGAUAAUAAUAAUCUUAUUAUAAUUUAAAUAACAAUAACAAUAAUCAUUUACCAAAACAAAUUUAUGCUAAGGGUAUUCUAGUCAUUUUAGUUUUUUCCAUUAUGCUAUUACACCUCUAUUACAUUCAACCAAACACAAGAUUACUAUUACGCCUCUAUUCCAUUACAUUCAACCAAACAGUUGAUUUGCUAUUACACCUCUAAUCCAAUACACCUUUAAUCCAAUACACCUCUAAUCCAAUACACCUCUAAUCCAAUACAGCGAACCAAACGCACCCUCAUUUUCUUUCUUUCUUUGAUAUUGCCGUCUUGCUCUCUCUCUGAAAGCUCUUUCCCUGCUCCAAUGGUGACGAAAUAAAGGAGCUUCAACGACGCCACGUCGGUAAAUUUCCUUAACUCCCUUUCUUUAUUUUUUAGAAACGAAAGCAAAACAAAAAAAUAAAAUGAAAAUAGUAAAAGAACAAAAGGGAAAAAAACAAGAAGCCGUCACCUUCAAAAUUUGUUUAUUCUUUUCUUGUAUUUUCUUUUUUCGUAUUUUCUUUAACUUUUUCAUACAAUAUUUUUGCCCCCCUCCUUAACAGAUUCGAUUGGCUUUUAUAUAGCCUUUACUCAAAAAAACCUUUACAAUUGUUUUGCUGCGUGUAUAUCUUGCUGUUCGUGGUUCGUUUGUAGAACGAACAUGCAUAGUAGACGCAAGGGAUCGUUGAUCAUGGGUGAUUGCGUCGUGAGGUGAUGGAACCGUUGCUGAACAUGGGCAAGGUGCGACGUGGGGCGAUGGGCAGUUGCUGCGGUGGCUGAGAUGCUGCUAACUGCUAGGGUUGCUACUAUCCUUUAAAAAUUUUUACUUUGGGCCACACUGUAAUUGGGCUAAGAUUUAGGGUCAAUGAUUUGGAUUUAAUUGAUUUUUAAUCAGGCCAAAAUUGGCCUAUUACAGUGGCGUUUUGUUAUAAAGCGCCGCAAUUAUAUAUAAACUUCGCCAAUGCGGCGUCGUUUGUGAGCUUCAUAAAAUCCAAUAGUGGCGUUUAUUAUAAAAACGCCAGAAAAUGCAACGUAAAACGUUGCCGUUUCGCUUACUGAAAACAAUUUUGGGGUAUACCCCCGAAGCAAUCUUCCCCCAGCCCCAAAUUCGUCGCCCCCAAAUCCCUAAAUCGCCUUCUCUCUGUGAAAUUCUUGCGUCCUUCUUGCCCAAUUUCUUGAAUUCCCAAAUCCGUAAAUCGCCUCAUUCUUGCCGAAUUUCUUGAAAUCCGAAAUCCCUAAAUCGCCUCAUUCCUCCUUCUAGAGAAGACGAACGUCGCACAAUAGGCCUUCAAAGGUUCGAUUUUGUUCCGAUUCUGCGUAUGUAAUCUUUGGGUUUUGACUUGUUUAUUAAAUUUAUUUUGUUUUUUAUUCGUCAAAUUUAUUUUGAUGUUCCUUACUUUAAAAAAUUUCUCUUCUUUGAUCUGUAUAAGGUUUUCGUUCGUUUCAGUUCAUCGUCCUACAGGUACUGUACUUGUUUGUUUUUACUUCUAUUUGGGAAUGGUUUCAUUAUUGGGUAUGCAACUGAUGUUAUGUUGUUUCAGUGAUAGUUUUUAGGUUUAUUUCAUUUCGCUGUUGACAGUGGUUUUCCUCAUCGUCCUGCAGGUACACUAAUUUUCUUUAUGUUUGAAAUUGUUUUUCUCGAAAUGGUUUCUGUGGGUGUCUUCAUUUCAUUUCAUUUAACUGGUUUUAGGCAACGUUUCACAUACCAUUGUUGUUGUCUGUCGAUGUGUUACUAUUUUUCUGCAUUUUUUAGGCAUACUGGUCUGUUACUAUUUUCUAUCGAUGUCAUAAUUUGUAGAAAUCUUAAAGUAUGCAAAAACAUGAAGUAUCUAGCAACAGAGCCUGGAUUUAAUCUAUUUUAUUUUUAUUAAAUUAUUACAUGUACUUAGGUUAAAUAAAUUUUUAGUAUAAUGUGUGAUAAGAUACAGAAAUUGAAGCUAAAAUUGGUAAUUUAGAAUUGCCGAAAUUAACAGAUCAAGAAAUUAAGUAUGUCAUGAGAUUUGAAUUGCUUGAAAAUGUUGUCAUGUUAAGAUUUGUUUGAGUAUUUACAUAUGGUAAAUGUUGUGAAUGGAUUACUAUGAAAUGAGCCUUUGUAUUGAAUGGUAAUGAUGUAUGGUAUUUGUACAGUUAUGAAUAAAGUAGUACUGCUUACAAUUGAAUUUGUUAAGAACAUAUUUGGCCAGAAAUGUGGUAUAAAAAUGUGAAUAGGCUGAUUAUGUAUUUGCAGGUUGGUAUCGAAAAUUUGGUCUUUUGGGGCUCCGAUUUUGUAUACAUUUUUUUGCUGGUUUUCCUUUCAAAUAUUGGAUGAUUUUACUUACUUAAAAUUGCCAUCUAAUUUUCUGCCUUAUAUUUUCUGCUAUAAUCUGGCAUCCAGUUUGCCAUGUUUUGGUAUUAAAUUAUUUUGGUCCUUCACAAAUCAAAGACGGUAUAUUAAUGUUUAGGGACUAAUUGAUGAUACUUUGUCUAAAGGAAUCUAAAUAUGUUCUCAUGUGUCCUGCCAUCACCAUUGUCGUUAAUUAUAGCAUAAGUUACUGCAUAGGAUUCUAAGGACCCAAAUAUAAUACAGCUCGUAAAUUACAUAAUUAGAUAAAAUUGAAAGUAUCCUUUUUGAAUCUACUUUCUUCUCACAUUUAACUUUCAUUAAUAAAUAAUUAAAUCUUCUUCCAUUUCUCAAGUAAUUCAUUUCCAAAAUCCCAUUUGAAAUGUGUAAAUAUUAUUAACAUAGAUAAAUAAGUUGGUCCAAACUAUACAAAUAUUUAUAUGUUUUCCUUUUUCAUUAUCUUUUUAUUUUAAUUUUAUGUUAUUUUAAUCACGAAAAAUAUAUUUUGUUUUAUUCUGUUUUAUUUUUAAUUUACCUAAUUAAAUAAAUUGUAUUUAAAGUUAUAUUUUAAAUAUUUUAUUUUAUUUUAAUCACGAAUUUUUUUAAAUAUUUUAUUUUAUUUGAAUCACGAAUAUUUUUAAAUAUUAAAAUUUUUAAGUUCAAAUUUCAUAACUUACGUAAUUUACAUAUCUUACAUAAUUCAUAACUUACGUAAUUUAAAUUUAUAAUACAUAACUUACAUAACUUAUUAAUAUUUAUAUAUAGUUUUUAUAUAUAUAUUUAAAUUUUAUAUUUUUUUAAAAAAAUUGAUACAUUACAUAACUUACAUAACCUACAUACAUAAGCUUACAUAUAAUACAUAACUUAUAUAACUUAAAUUUAGCAAUCAUAUCAUAACUUACAUACAUAAUUAGUAAUCAUAUCACAACUUACAUAACCAACAUAAUGACUUACAUAAUAACCUACAUAAUAACUUAUAUAAUAAUACAUAAUAAUACAUAACAUACAUAAAUUAAAUAAGUUACAUAAUACACAAAAACAAAAACUUACAUAACUUACAUAAUAUCCUACAUCCCUACUUACAUAAUAAUACAUACCGUACAUAAAUUAAAUAAGUUACAUAAUACACAAAAACAAAAACUUACAUAACUUACAUAAUAUCCUACAUCCCUACUUACAUAAUAAUACAUACCGUACAUAAAUUAAAUAAGUUACAUAAUACACAAAAACAAAAACUUACAUAACUUACAUAAUAUCCUACAUCCCUACUUACAUAAUAAUACAUACCGUACAUAAGUUACAUAAUAAACAAAAACAAAAACUUACAUAACUUACAUAAUAACUUACAUAAUAACUUACAUAAUAAUGCAUACCCUACAUAAAUUAAAUAAGUUACAUAAUACACAAUAAGGUUAAAAACAUAGUGUAACUUACAUAAUAAUACAUACUCUACAUAAUAAUACAUAACUUACAUAAGACAUAACUUACAUAAGUUUCAUAAUACACAACUUACACAACUUACACAACUUACAUAACUUACAUAACUUACAUAAUACAUAACUUAUUCCUAAAUCCUAAACCCGUGCAAUUUAUUGUCAAUGUCAGACUUCAAGAAUUAAGAAAUGGACCGUUCUUGGAUGAAUUUGUCAAGAGUUAGUGACGAUUAUCGAAAUGGAGUGCAGAGUUUUCUAAAUUUUGCAUUUCAAUAUGCAAGCCAGGAGAACAUGAUUUUUUGCCCGUGUAAGAAGUGUGUCAACAUAAACUGGCAUUAUCGUGAGGUUGUAUACGAGCAUCUAAUUGUUGAUGGGUUUGUUCGGGGUUAUAAACAAUGGUUAUUUCAUGGACAAUGCCCGCCUAGUACUUCCUCUUCAACGAUGGAUGUAUCUUACUCUGGUCCUGCUUACCAUCAGUCUGAUAGAGGGGAUGACGUGGAAGGUAUGUUGCGGGAUGCAUUUAAUAUGCACAAUCAUGGUGUCCAGUCGUUCCCAGCGGACUUUGUGGCUUCUGAUGAUUGUAAUAUUGGGAGAAAUGCUUUUACCGAACCGGGAAGUAGUGUACCUCAUGAAGAGCCGAAUGAAGAAGCGGUGAAGUUCUACACGCUACUUAAUGACAUGAACGAAGAACUGUAUGAGGGAUCAAAAUUUUCAAAAAUGUCUUUCUCUAUUCGUCUUUUUCAGUUAAAAUGUUUGGGAGGGUGGACCCGAAACUCGUUGACAAUGCUGUUAGAGUUUUUAAAAGAAAUGUUUCCGUUUGUAAAAAUCCCUCAGUCAUGCAAAGAUAUGAAGAAAAUGAUAAAAGAUUUAGGCAUUGGGUACAACAAAAUCCAUAGUUGCCCAAAUGACUGUAUGUUGUAUUGGGGCGAUCGAAAUGACCAACAGUGCUGUCAUGUAUGCGGCCAAUCCCGAUGGAUUAGUAGAAACACAGAAGAUGGGAAGGACGAUGAAAAUGGUGCACAGUCGAGAAAGAAGCCAGUUAAGAUUUUACGGUAUUUUCCCCUGAUACCAAGGCUUCAAAGGCUAUUCAUGUCGUCCAAGACAGCGGAGUCAAUGACGUGGCACCAUGAUGAACGAACCGAUGAUGGAUUACUAAGGCAUCUGGCAGAUUCUUUGGCUUGGAAAUCAUUUGACAAUAAAUUUCCAGGCUUUGCAAGUGAUCCUAGGAGUGUGAGACUUGGGCUAGCAUUGAUGGAUUUAAUCCUUUCAAGAUCAUGAGCACUGCGUACAGUACUUGGCCAGUAGUGCUUGUUCCUUAUAAUCUGCCUCCGUGGAUUUGCAUGAAGCAAUCUUCCUUUAUCUUAUCUAUGAUAUCGACAUUUAUUUACAGCCACUUAUUGAAGAGUUAAAACAAUUAUAGGCUGGUGUCGAGACAUACGAUGUGGUGAGAAAGGAGAACUUUAAUUUACGUGCGGCUUUAAUGUAGACCAUUAAUGACUUUCCCGCUUAUGCCAAUUUAUCCGGUUGGAGUACCAAGGGUCGUUAUGCGUGUCCUUGUUGUGCUGCACAAACAUGUUCGCAAUGGUUGUAUAAUGGGAAGAAGUUUUCUUACAUGGGGCAUCGUCGGUGGUUACCAAAAAAUCAUAGAUUUAGAUUUCAGAGUUCUGUAUUUGACGGCACUGAAGAAUUCAGAGAAGGUCCAUCCCAGACCAGUGGCUCUGAAAUCUUGUUCAUGUUGGAAGAUAUGAAUUUCAUUUAUGGGAAGAUGAACCAACCGCCAAACAUGCAGAGAAACAGAAGAUCAAAUGAUGAAGGGGAUGAAAGCUCCGACGAAGAGGACGAUCCUAAUGAGGCGGACUUGUGGAAAAAAAGAAGUAUUUUUUUUAGUUGCCUUAUUGGGAGCAUCACCUUUUAUGACACAAUCUUGAUGUUAUGCACAUUGAGAAAAAUGUCUGCGAGAACAUUGUGGGUACAAUUUUGAACGUCGACGGAAAAUCAAAAGACAAUCUUCAGAGUCGACUUGAUUUAGUCCAAAUGGGAAUUCGGCCUGAUCUUCAUCCCAAUCUACUUCCGAAUGGGAAAUAUCGGUUGCCGCCUUCUAUUUUCUCAAUGUCCAAGACGGAGAAACACUACACCAAAACAGGCUUUUAGCGGCAUUUUUAGCGGCGUUUGGACAAAAAAUGCCACUAAAAAUCAAGCAUUAGCGGCGCUUUUGGGAAAACGCUGCUAAAAAUAAACAUUAGCAGCGUUUUUUGAAAAGCACCGCAAAAAGCCUAAGCCAAACGACAUCGUUUUCUGAGUUUUUGGGGCCUUUAGCGGCGUUUUUAAAGAAGCGCCGCUAAUGCUCGAGCCUUUAGCGGCGUUUUUAAAGAAGCGCCGCUAAUACUAGGGGCUUUAGCGGCGUUUUUGGGAAAAGCGCCGCUAAAAACAUUUUAUCUUAAUUGGUUUAUUUAUAUUAAUUAAAUAAAAUUCAAUUUAUUUCUAAUUGAAUAUUUUAAAUCUUCAUAAAAAAAUAAUGACAGAUAGAAAUAAUUUGAAAUAAAGCACAUGGAAAAAUUAAAAUACUAUUAUUUAAAAUAAUUUUAAAGUUUUUUGGGUACAUGAUUACUGAUUGUUUUUAAUUUAUAUAUUAAAAAUUUUCUUAUAUAAUUGUAAAAGAGAUAGUAUUAAUUUUAAAAUAUUGAAUUAAUUAUCACUAUAGUUUAGGGUUUUUGGUUUAGGCUAUAUGAUUUAUUUAAGAUUUAAGGCCAGUUUAGGAGUUACUAUUUUAAGGUUUAGGGAGUAUGGGUUUAGGGAUUAUGGUUUAAGGGUUGAGAUUUAAGGUUUAGAGGUUAGAGGGUUUAGGGUUUAGGGGUAAGAGGGUUAGCGGUUUAGAGGUUAAACGUUAGGGGUUAAGAAAGUUAGGGAUUUAAGGUUUAGGGAUUCAAAGGUCGAGUUAGGAUUUUGGGCGUUUAGAUUAAUUUUUUAAAUUUAUAUUUUAAAUAUGUUCUUAUAUAAUUGUAAAAGAGAUAAUAAUAAAUUUGUUUAGGGUUUUUGGUUUAGGGUAUAUGAUUUAUUUAAGAUUUAAGGUCAAUUUAAGAGUUCAUAUUUUAAGGUUUAGAGAGUAUGGAUUUAGGGAUUAUGGAUUAGGGAUUAUGAUUUAAGGGUUGAGAUUUAAGGUUUAAGGGUUAGAUGGUUAGGGGUUUAGGGGUUAGACAUGUUAUGGGUUAAAAGUUAGGGAUUCAGGGGUCGGGUUAGGGUUUUGGGUUUAGAUUAAUUAUUUUUUAAUUUAUAUUUUAAAUAUGUUCUUAUAUGAUUGUAAAAGAGAUAAUAAUAAAUUUGUUUAGGGUUUUAAGUUUAGGGUAUAUGAUUAAUUUAAGAUUUAAAACCGGUUUAGGAGCUCAUAUUUUAAGGAUUAGGGAGUAUGGAUCUAGGGAUUAUGGAUUAGGGAUUAUGGUUUAAGGGUUGGGAUUUAAACUUUAGCGGUUAAGGGGUUAGGGGUUAGACGUUAGGGGUUAAGAGUUAGGGAUUUAAGGUUUAGGGAUUCAGGGGCCGAGUUAAGGUUUUGAGUUUAGAUUAAUUAUUUUUUUAAUUUAUAUUUUAAAUAUGUUCUUAUAUAAUUGUAAAAUAGAUAAUAAUAAAUCAAAUAUAUUGAAAUUAUGAACAUAGUUUAAAUUAUUUAAGAGAUAUAUAAUAGAUAGACUUUAUAUGUAUUGAAUGGUUAAUUUAGGGUGUAAGGUUAAGGUUUACUUGAGAUUUGUUAAUAGAUAUAUAAUGAUAUGGAUAUAUAGGUACUUAUUUAAUUUGGAUAAUUCUAACUUAAUAAUUAAUUACAACCAUUUUAUCAUUUGUUUUCUUAUUAAAAUACAUAAUAUUUAUUUUGAGAGUACUUGUUUUUUUUUUUAUAAAAAACCAAUUUAUAAAAAACAAAAUAAAAUUUUUUUAGCAUAGCAAAACGGCGUCAUUUUGUUCAAAAUGAAAUAAUCUUUUGUGGCGUUUUU